rnacentral:lncRNA from 1 species
GGGCCAUGCUUAAAAGAUAAGCAAUUGGAAGUGAAGUCUGGCUAAACCUUCUUCAUCUAACUCAGAUUUGAAUGCUCUCUUCUACAGAUUGUAAAGUUGGAUGUCUCAGGAUUUCAGAAAAUCUGCUUCCUGGUUUUCGCAUAUACGGACUCAGACCCAGCUGGACUAACCCUGAAUGAGCUACCAAAGGACCAUGGCACAGACAUUGGCAUCUCAGUCCUUAAACCGUUCCCCCACCUUCCCUCCUCUGCUGCACGACAGUGGGAAAGCAGGUCCUUCUCCAGCCAUUUCCCCGGAACAGCUGGGCUGUUGUGUGGCUAUAGACAGAGUGAAUUUUGCAGGCUAAAUGAAGGCCUUUCCACUGGAGCAUUUGCAUGAUGCACCCUAUUCUCCCGGCAAGGAAGACACCCGUGUGCAGACUGAUCACAAAGCUAAGCAAGCCACAGUUUCUGCAGAGAGCUGGCAUGGGGAAGAAGGGCCUUGCUUGCCCUUUGCCAUUCCCUUCAGGCUUCACCCAGCAGAGACCCAGGAGAGCGUCAGGCAACAGGACACGCCAGAGCCCUCCCGGGUCAGGCAGCAUCUAGGCUCCCCUCUCCCUUUGUGCCAUGAAGGGUGUGAGCCCCACCGAAAUGCUUCUGCAGUACGACUGAUCAGGCCUUCCUCCCCCUCCCCGGCUCUGAGCACUCCUACAUCUCCUCCCAAAGCCACGGAGAAAAACUGA